AACAAGGCACAUCAAUCCACUGGUGCAAAAGAAGAGAACACCUCUGCCAUAGGAGAUUCAGCAGAAAAAGGCCAAACAGAUGGUCCAGGAGGUUCUGGAGAAGAGUUAAAUGGGAGAGGAAAUAAUGGAGGAGUAUAGUAGAGCACCUUGACACACUGUACAAGAAGGCAUCUUCUGAAUAUCCUGGUCCAUGGGAUACCAGUACGAAGUCAAGGAAAAAGAUAUGCACUCGGCAUUGUGACUGUUUCCUAAUCUCAGGGAUCCUUACUCCACCAAUGGCUAUGAACACUUCUACGAUGCUGGAAGAGGGACGGGCUAUCUGGCAUGGCGCCUAAAGCAACGAGUGUCGCAGCGUUUGGUCAAGAACAGCUCGGGAGCCUUGGAAUACAUGAACACCAUGAGCUUUUUAAGGAGGUAGACUUUCUAAUGAGGAGACACAGCACUCAAAAAAUCCUCCAUAGAAAUGCAUGGGGUUAGUUUGUAACGUAUGGUGU